AGGGAGGAGACUUUGGGGUCUAAAGAGACAGGAGACUCCUCUGGCGUCCGGCCAACUGGGAUUCCCCCUUGCCUUCCGGGGCCGCCGGGUGCCUGGGUUCUGGCCAGCUGGAUUUGGGACACAACAGUUGAGAUACUGGAGGGCCAGAGAAAGCAAGCUUGAAACAGAGAGGAACGGGUCACUUUGGUGGAGGAAAUUGGGCCACCAAGCAGCCCUAUGGAGAGGCCAAUGUGGAGAGAAACUGAGGCCUUCCACCAAAAGCCAGCACCAACUUGCUAUCCAUGUGAGUGAACCAGCUUGCAGUACAGAGUGGUCAACCCCAGUCAAGCUUUCAGAUAACUACAAGCCUAGUUGACAUCUUGACUACAACUUCAAGAGAGACAUCAAGGCAGAACUGCUUCGCUAAACUGCUCUUGAAUUCUUGACCCACAGAAACUGAGAGAGAGAAUAAAUAUUUAUUGUUGUUUCAAGUAACUACAUCCUGGGGGUAACUUCUUAUGUAUAGAUAAUAUAUA
rnacentral:lncRNA from 1 species